UGAGCAAUCUGCCCUUCUCGUCGGAAUAAGCGUUGGAAACGACGUCUAAUGCCGAAUACGACCUCCUUUCGCAUGAUCGGAGGUGGAAAGCUCCGGCGGAGAAGGAUGAGCUCGCGGCCUAUCAGCUAGUUGGUGUGGGUAAUGGCCCACCAAGGCGACGACGGGUAGCCGGCCUGAGAGGGUGACCGGCCACACUGGGACUGAGACACGGCCCAGACCUCCGUACGGGAGGCAG
rnacentral:rRNA from 1 species